CCAGCCGGUGAAGGACAGCAGAACCGGAAUGGGCCUUGUACUGCAGCUCGGGCCGCAGUCACCUGCUGUAUGCAACUUCAAGGUAACUGUCAGAAAAUGACCCCUGUGCUACACCUGCUGUCAUUGUGCAAUUGCAGCUGUGUGAGAAGCCACCACCACGAAGAAAUCACUCUUACUUUCUUAUGGCUGUCACCUUUUGCAUAUUCCACAGGAUCACAGAAUUGCAGGGGUUGGAAGGGACCCCCACAGAUCGUAGAGUCCGACCCCCCUGGUCUUUGCUGCUCUCUUAGUCUUUCGCUUCAAGCUCUGUGGAAAGUCAAGUUACCUUCUUAUACCUCACAAGAAACAGACUUAAUAUUUCAUCAAACAGCUAUGAAUAACAAACAGCAGAGGGUACAGAAGCGUGCUUUUAGCAGGCAGCAGACCUCACUCUGGAAGUAUUUCAAUACCAGUUUUGCUGAUUGAUUCAGAUAACACCUAUGCUUGCUUUCUUUAGGCAGUGCAUUUCAUAGUGUGCUCUGUGCUCGAUAAGGUAAGCUUUUGCACUCUCUGUUUUUAACCAGAAGUAACCCACAGGGUGAUACGGAGAAACAAAGUUGUUUUUUUGUUUUUUUGUUUUUUUUUAACCAAGUAUGAGAACAAGACCCCUUUCCUGUCCCGAUUUCCUUAUGUCACAAACACCUUCCUGCUUUGUUGCGUGUUCCAGAACAGAUAGAUUUAAAAAGACCUUAAUCCUGGCUGUGCCCUGUGACAGAGUGACGGCGAGGCCUCUGAAAACACUUACCUAGUCAGACUUAGGGUGGUUGGCUGUGCAAGUAUAAUCCUGAACACAUGAGGCUGGGAUGUCUCAAAAUGGUUGCCGGACAGGGCCCAGGUGCUCAGAUGUAAUUCCAAGGAAUCAAGCUUUCGUGACUGCCUGCGUUAUGGGCGAAGCUGUUAAAAGCACGCUGAUGUAACAAUGCUUCCCAAAUGCGUACGGGCUACAUCAUAAAUUAGUGCAGAAAAGAAAAUUAGCAUUAAUUGUUAGUUUCCCUGGCAUUUACCUCAUCUUUGCUGUAUGCAUUUUUCCCUUGCAGCUCACAUUUGGUUAGCAGGCUCAGUGGGAUGGAUUUCUGUGACACGUAGAGAGGGAGAGAACGGGGAUCUUAACAGCACGUCGCAAAGAAAGGAGGAAAGAAGAUAUUGGAUGAAUGCCCCAAAGUACAAGAACAACUUGUGACAAUCAGAAAAAAUCUGUCUUGCACGCUUUCAGAGCUACGGGUGAUAAAUGAGAUCGGAGGAAAAACUAAGAAGAGCUCACAACAGCUCGGGGUUCCUGAGGACCUGAAAAGACGAUGAGGAACUCCACAGAUUUCUACUGGAGCUGUGUUACCGAAGCUCGUAGCGAUGACAACUGCACUGCAACCACUCUACGAGGAUGUACUGGUGUGUGACUCCAACUGCCACAGCUUGUACUACUUAUUUUCUUCCUUCACUUUUAAAAGGUUACUGUGCAUGAAGACACAGUUCAAAGAGCUUAAGCUACUUUUAGAGAAAUCAGUCUUUCCUGUGACUUUGCACAAAAGGCUUGCCUUUUGGUUAUGUACUUCACUUAAAGAUGUGAAAAAGCCGCUCCCAAAAAUUGCAUUUUUCUGGGGCUUACUUUUCAGUAAUACUACUGUGUGCUUAAUUUCAAACCAUUAAAUUUCUGUUUUUGACAACAAGAAGUAAGCAGAAAUAGGGAUGUGCUCCUAUUCUCCCCUGGUCUGUUCCAGGAAACUUUGCCUGGGGCUUGUCCACACUUGCUGCCAGUUUGAGCUGCUCUAUUUUCUUUAAACACCAUCCAAAUGACAUGCACAAUCAAAUUUAUUUUUCCUACUGCUAUUUUUUCAUUUAUACUCCUGAGCAAUGCAGCCAUCAUGGAAAAAAAAUCAGAGAGCAGGUCAAGAGGAUGUGUACCUGGAAGACUUCUCCCAUGUAUCGUGUGUUGGAAGGAGCAGAGAGACAAAUACCAGUAGCCUGCAUAGCUGCCACUAUUCUGAGUUAUAACAUGACACUUGAUUCAAGCACAGCCAACGACAAUCACAGAGUGGUCCCUUCUGCAAGAAUAAAAAUAUACAGUGGUAAAUUUAAGUGAGAGCUCUGCUCGCUGGACCUAUUUUAGCCUGUAAAACUGCAACAAUUUAUUUUGUACCGUCAAA